rnacentral:rRNA from 1 species
GACGAACGCUGGCGGCGUGCUUAAUACAUGCAAGUCAACUUGACUUUAGAUAGCAAUAUCGAAAAGUAGGGUGGCGCACGGGUGCGUAACGCGUAGGUAAUCUGCCUGAGGUCUGACAUAACCCGUCGAAAGCGGGCUAACAUCAGAUGAAUAUAUAAUCACGACAUCGUGGAAAUAUCAAAUCUUCGGAGCCUUGGGAUGAGCCUGCGUCUGAUUAGGUAGUUGGCGGAGUAAUAGCCCACCAAGCCUACGAUCAGUAGCUGGUCUGAGAGGAUGAUCAGCCACACUGGAACUGAGACACGGUCCAGACUCCUACGGGAGCAGCAGUAA